UAAUAUAUAUUACAACGGAUAGUUUUCAUAUCGUGUGUUGGAUGAUUUCAUCAUAAAUUCGUAGAGAUUUUAAGUAACAGUAUGCGUAGAAACGAAAAUCCCAUAACGGAUCGGUUGGUAUUCUCAGAGAGUGCUGCUAAUAAAAAAUAGAAUAAAUCGUUCGUACGCCGAAUUUUCGGAAUAAGUGUAAAACUGAAUAUAAUCGACCGUUUGAACUUGGACGUAAAAUCAAAACUAACGGAUCGCGAUGAGUCUGUUCCAAGACGUUCAGCCAUUACCUAAAAGUAAUGGGUAACACUAAACGCUGCGUGAAGUCGAGGGAAUCACAUCCGGAUUUCUCCAUCGUUGAGUCAUUUGAAUAAUGUGCCGGCUGAUCAAUGAGCAACGUACCGAUGGAAUGAUCACGAUAAAUUUUAAAUGGCUGUUGCAAAACCGAAUUUCAUAACGGGUAACGUUAGCGCGUUAAAUUUCUUCUUCUCCGACCAAUUAUACCAAACGAAAGCAUCGUGUCCGGCAGAAGACAAGUGAAAGCUCGACCUUGAAACAGUCGCAUAUCUUCGCGACCAAGUAAUACAAUAAAAGAUAAUUAGUACAACUACACUCGCACGUCUUGUCAAAAAUGCAAAUAUUAUACGUUAUUCUUUCUGUUUGCACUCUUUCUGUUCACGCAUUUUUCAACUAGAAAUGGUCGCUGAAAAUAUUGGAAGUUUAAGCAUAAAGCGAAAAGUCUCAGUUUACAUUCGAAAUGCGUAUAAGACGAAAUAGAAGGGGACCAAAAGUCAACAGCUAGCGAUUUCACCUUCAAUAACUCAAGAAAAUUCGUCAAGUGCCAAUUAAGGAUGCGCAAAGUGGAAAUCCGACGACACGGUUGUUUACCGAGCAUCAUUGCCUGUCUAUAUCCCGUUCGAAUUACAAUCUGUAGACGAGUAAAACGCUGUUUUUUGUGCGAUUACAAUCGCCAGUUAAUCCUUUACAAGCUACAUGUAAUCCUCGAGCGAAAAUUUGACUUCACUGUCUGAGAAACGUAUUCGUGCCCAUUCAAGCUCAAGAUCUAUUAUCCUUACUGCUAUUUACACUGAAUACUUAAAGAAUAUUAAAUGUUUUGCUUGUCAUUUUACGGUGUUAUUAUUUUAAGUACAUUUUCAAUUUCCGAGAAAUUAUAAACCGUGUAUUUUUCAGAAGGGUCACAUAAACAAAAUCUCAUAAUAUAUUAAUGUUGUAAAUUACUCAUUUAAAAAUGCUGUAAAUCGAUAGAGUCCUCAUAUGGGACUAUAGGACUUAAGAAACGCUAUACUCGUUACGAUUUGCAUACGAUUCAUCAAAAUUAUAGAAUACAUUUAUUAGUUGAGGUGAUAAUUACGCACGACAAUGAAAAAAGUGUUAUAUUGGAUUGUUUUUGUUUUAGUACCCAAUUAGUUUCAACCAAAAGUUAACAACUGUUACCAAAAACAAAUUAAUGUUAGUUUUAACUAAAAUGCAAAAUACUCACGUUUGUAUUUAGUGUUUUCCAAUAAUGAGACGAUAUGGAGCUUUGUGUGAAAUCCCAUAAGUACGCACUAUUUCUGUCAAGUCCGAUUGUCUGUGUUUGCUCGACUAAUUCAAGCCUAAUUGAUUGUAAUCUAUCUCCGGUAAAUGUGAAUCUGAUCCCGUACACAAACAAAUGCAUGUACAAUAGUAGCGCAUAACCUUCAGACAAAGUCCGACGUGAAUGUUACAAAUAUGGUUGUUUGUCGCCAAACUUGAAGACCUUUGGUAGGAUAUCAUACAGUAGAGCAUGAUAGGUCAGUCAUAAUUCACAGAACAAAAUAUUUUAUUCAAGAACACCAUACUAAGGCAUGAAGCUUGCAAAAUAUAAAAAGUCCGUGGGUAUCAAAUGCACUUUAUAUGAAUAAAACUUCUACAAAGCAAAAAAAACGAAACAUUCGUUGUGAUAUUGAAUAUUGUUGUUACGAAAAUAAAUUUCUAUUAGAAUUAAAUUAUGUUUUAAAUUUGGUGUUGCAUUAAUUCAUUCGAAUACUGACAUAUAUUCAAAUGUUCUUACUAAAAGUAUAAGUAUUGUAAUAAAUUUUACAAAA